GGUAUAGGGGUCCCUAAUUAAUACACAAUGUCAUUCAAUAUUGGUAAAACAGCUCAACCUCUAGACAUUUUCGUGGCCAGCUGAUUUUUGCCCCCAAAUUGUCUGAAAUUGAGGAAAAUCAGUGUAAAAUGUGAGAAUGAUUAAGAGUGACGGGAGACUGGGGUACAGAGGCCAAAAUCUGCUAACUCCCCACUUCUACACAACUCAGUCCCAUUGCAUGCUGGGUAUUGUAGUCUUACAUUGACUUGUUCAACAAAGACUACAUUACCCAACAUGCAUUGGGUUCGGCACAUUAGGCCAAGAAAAAGCUUUGGCUGGUUUCAAGUACAAACCAGCCCAAAAAGUAUCCCAAAUCCUUACCUUGUUUAAUUUGUACUUUCAAAACUCACUUGGAGUUUAAAUGAGUAGCCCGAUUUGGCUGGAAAACCACCAACCUGGCAACCCUGUUCUCUAGACAACAGUGGGGCUCAUAAGCAUAUAUAGCCACGCCCCUGAUCCACCCAAGUUCUGCCUCUUUGUCAGAAAGCCCUCCCCCUGCCUGUUUCUCAAUGGAAGCCCUUACUGGGAGUAGCUUUGUGUCACUGUAUGUGACUGUGUUUUUACUACCCCUUAACCCUCUUUUCAGGUCAAGAAAAACCGUUUUGAAAAACAAACCAAGCCGAAUACAUUUUUUACUUCCAUGUUUUGUGACAAAAAGUCACGCAAUUUGUGUCCCCACCCCUAAUUUGCAUGUGUGGAUUCGGUUUGGCCGGGCAGAAGGAUUUGGCCGAAUUCCAAACCAAAAGGACUUCUUAUUGAACAUUAUUGUGUUCUUUAACAAUAGAAAACAUUGAUGAGCAGUCCGUUAGAACGAAGAGAAAAGACUGAACCCUCCAUGCUGCUGCUGCUACUGCUACAGGUACAAGGGCUGUCUAGCUGGAACCAAGUACACAGAAUCAGCAUCUCUAGAAUAGUAUUCUACAUACCAUCACUCAAGCCAAGAUGUUUUACAUACUGCUUGAUAAGCUAAAUGGUAAGUUAGACAACACCGUCAUUCUUAAAUAAUAAUAAUAAUGUGUUCCAGACUAAUACACACAGAAUCCACUGUUUGCUUCUUUCUUGCACCAUUUUGUUUGAGCCACUGGGGAACCAUUAUCUGUGAUUAUACAGUAUAAAUUGUUAUACUAUCAAAAGCUUUUAGAAGCAAGGACUUACAGUAUAACUAGGAAAAUCAACUACUACCUGGGUCUGUGGGCUCCUGGUGCUCCUGGCUCUCUGGGCGGCAGUAUUUUCCAAAGGCUUCCUCUUUAGGAAUAUCAGGAUACAGGUAAACCAAAGGGGACACCAGGAUAUUGGUAGCGUCCAUGAUUUUAUAUCCCAUAAUAAUUUCAGCAAAUGACAUGUUGUUUAGUUGUUGCUUGGUGUAGGGUUCCACUGAUUGAAUCUGAGUCUUACCUGGGUGUGAAAUCGCAAUACAAACACACUUAACAUUUGAGAUAUCCUGGAAAAAGGCGAGCACUCACAGGUCUUAAGAUGCAAAAAAUCGGUGAAAUUUAUUGAAAAUAAAUAACUGACGUUUCGGCUAAUCCUAUAGCCUUUCUCAAAGUGAGAACAUAAGUUUAAUAUUAAAAAUAAAAUAUAUUUACCACUGAUGUCCUUCUCUACCCAGGUGAAGGUGAUGCCUCCCUCCUUGCUGCUUUCACUGAAUCUCAGCAGGAAAGUUCCUGGGGGUUUGGUACUCAGAAUAGCUCGCUCACGCUCUUUGCUGAUGAAGCCCAUAAUAUACCUGGUAGAUCACAAAUAUACACAUUAUACCUAUUAAGAACACCAAAAAUGAUUAGUUUAUCCUAUUCCCAACAUACAAGCAGAAUUUGCAGAGAAACAUCAUUUUAGAAAUGAGCUCAGUAAGUAAGAGUUCAGUAAGUAAUGCUCACCCUUCAUUCCAAAGGGCCAAGAUAUAUUUCUUCACAAGGUCAAUGAUGUUGUCCAGCCAAACCCAGAAGGAAAACCCUUUGCCAGCCAUAUUUUCCUAGAAAUACAAUGGCAAUGUUAAGCAGUGGCCAAUUACCACAACAAACUACAUUGAAAGGAAAAUACCCCAUUGCAAUGUGAUUGACAUAAGCCCACCAACAUAAUUGUGCACAUUUAAUAAAGAUAUCAGCUCAGAAACCCUGCCUGCCCAAUAUUUUAGAGGGUAGUUGCACCAGAUUCUUCUAAAUUUAUCCUGAGGUCAAUACACUGCCUUAUAGGGCUCCUUUUGAAACAGAACUGCAUGGACAGCAAUCAGUUUGCCAUGAUACCAUGGGUUGCUCAGGUCUAUAGGAUACGAUUAGACAAUGUAGAGGGAUUGGUAGGUCUCUUUGUCAAAAGUUUAACGUUAACCUAUGAUACAUCAUUUUAAAGCUUGAAGUAAAAUGUAAAAAUUACUUUACAGAACUUGGCCCAGGUGAUUUGGCAUCCGGAAUAGUUGACUCCCGGACCUGUUAGAGAAAAUAAGAUUAUUAAGAAACACAUAGUAGCAGUGACAACAUGGCUUCUUCUAUUGUACUGGAAGUGUACAGAAUACAGACCCAACAGUUUCUCUGCCAGUGUGGUUAGUUGCUCAAUACUUAGGCCUCGUUUUGUGGUGGAGGAAAACUGCCAGCUCAGCACCUCUGCCACCUGAUCCCAAGUGCCAAUCGGGGGCUUGGUAAAGAAAUUAACAUUCUGCAGAAGAAAAGUAAAAUAAGUACGAGAAGACUGUUCCCCACGGUUACCAAACAUGGAUGGUUAUAGUCCUACCUUUGGGUUGUUGGUCAGCAUGUUGUACCACAGGAUAGAGGCCCAAGCAUUGGGCAUCUGACAGAUAUUAGAAAUCACCACAACAGGCAGGGAAUGAGUCUAUAGUAAAAGGAAACAGAUGAAGUAUGGUAUCAGUUGCUUUUAUGUACCUGGCCAAAUUUCUUUGCUGCCCUGUGUGAUCUGGUUAUUUUGCAGACAGCAUUCAUUGGCCAAUAACCUGCCCAUAGAUAGGCAGCAUUAACUGACAAGUUCUUAUAUCAAUAAAAACACCACAGACGUAAUGAAAUAUCGGCUAACAGAAAAUAGUAAAGAACUACUUUUAUGGAAAUAACAAGCCAAUAGUAUUAGAGGAUAGUACCCCUUUAUUUUCAUACCUCCAGGUCAAUCUUCAGCCCCUGGUGAUAAACUUCAGUUUCAAAUGUGAUUAGAUGGAGUUCUUCUGUCACUAUAAGGGAGGCCUUCAAAAUAAAGUAAAUACAGGAGACACUUUUAGUCACCAAACUA